CACGUAGGCGGGAAGUUAAGUGUUUAGUGAAAACCCUCGGCUUAACCGAGGAACGGCUGGGCAAACUGACUUUCUUGAGGCCGGUAGGGGUGCAUGGAACUCCAGGUGGAGCGGUGAAAUGCGUAGAUAUCUGGAGGAACGCCAGCGGUGAAAACGGUGCACUGGGCCGGCUCUGACGCUGAGGUGCGAAAGCGUGGGUAGCGAACGGGAUUAGAUACCCCGGUAGUCCACGCCCUAAACGAUGUCUACUAGGUCAAGGUGGGUCUGAUCCCUUCGUGGCCGAAGCAAAAGUGCUAAGUAGACCGCCUGGGGAGUACGGUCGCAAGGCUAAA
rnacentral:rRNA from 1 species